rnacentral:rRNA from 1 species
UACAGAGGGUGCAAGCGUUAAUCGGAAUUACUGGGCGUAAAGCGCACGUAGGUGGUUAGAUAAGUUGGAUGUGAAAGCCCUGGGCUCAACCUAGGAAUUGCAUUCAAUACUGUUUGGCUAGAGUAUGAUAGAGGAUAGUGGAAUUUCCGGUGUAGCGGUGAAAUGCGUAGAUAUCGGGAAGAACACCCGUGGCGAAGGCGGCACUCUGGGACGGUACUGACGCUGAGACGCGAAAGCGUGGGGAGCGAACAGG